UAGUAAUACUUUCAUACUCCAUAAGGAUCC
rnacentral:piRNA from 1 species